rnacentral:rRNA from 1 species
UUGUUUGGAGAGUUUGAUCCUGGCUCAGGACGAACGCUGGCGGCGUGCUUAACACAUGCAAGUCGAACGGAAAGGUCUCUUCGGAGAUACUCGAGUGGCGAACGGGUGAGUAACACGUGGGUGAUCUGCCCUGCACUUCGGGAUAAGCCUGGGAAACUGGGUCUAAUACCGGAUAGGACCACGGGAUGCAUGUCUUGUGGUGGAAAGCGCUUUAGCGGUGUGGGAUGAGCCCGCGGCCUAUCAGCUUGUUGGUGGGGUGACGGCCUACCAAGGCGACGACGGGUAGCCGGCCUGAG